UAACCUGGUUGAUCCUGCCAGUUAGUCAUAUGCUUGUCUUAAAGACUAAGCCAUGCAUGUCUAAGUAUAAAUAGUAUACAGUGAAACUGCGAAUGGCUCAUUAAAACAGUUAUCGUUUAUUUGAUAAUUACUAUUAUAUGGAUACCUGUAGUAAUUCUAGAGCUAAUACAUGCGUCAAUGCCCGACUUUGGAA
rnacentral:rRNA from 1 species